GGAAAAUCUAGCUUGGGCAAUUCUUGGGCAGUCUUUAACUCAAACAUCCAAAAGCCUUUCAUAAUAAUGCUUUCGCGCUCGAAUGAAACUGUCUCGAAAACUGUUUGGGGGUCAAACCUCACGGGGGUUCGAAUCCCCCCCUCUCCG
rnacentral:tRNA from 1 species